GGAGUUAGCCGGUGCUUCUUCUGUGAGUGAUGUCCUUCCUGCCGGCUAUUAACCCGCAGGCCUUCUUCCUCACUGAAAGUGCUUUACAACCCGAAGGCCUUCUUCACACACGCGGCAUGGCUGGAUCAGGGUUGCCCCCAUUGUCCAAUAUUCCCCACUGCUGCCUCCCGUAGGAGUCUGGGCCGUGUCUCAGUCCCAGUGUGGCUGAUCAUCCUCUCAGACCAGCUACGGAUCGUCGCCUUGGUUAGCCGUUACCUCACCAACCAGCUAAUCCGACAUAGGCUCAUCCGAUAGCGCGAGGCCCGAAGGUCCCCCGCUUUCCCCCGUAGGGCGUAUGCGGUAUUAGCCUGGGUUUCCCCAGGUUAUCCCCCACUACCGGGCAGAUUCCUAUGCAUUACUCACCCGUCCGCCGCUCGCCACCAGGGAGCAAGCUCCCCGUGCUGCCGCUCGACUUGCAUGUGUAGCGUCGCCGCCACGCGUCAUCUGAGCACGAAUACAACUACUGA
rnacentral:rRNA from 1 species